GGCCUGCUAGCUCAGUCGGUUAGAGCGUCGUGCUAAUAACGCGAAGGUCGUAGGUUCGAUCCCUGCGCAGGCAA
rnacentral:tRNA from 1 species